UACAGAGGGCGCAAGCGUUGUUCGGAAUUAUUGGGCGUAAAGGGCUCGUAGGCGGCCAACUAAGUCGGACGUGAAAUCCCUCGGCUUAACCGGGGAACUGCGUCCGAUACUGGAUGGCUUGAGUGUGGGAGAGGGAUGCGGAAUUCCAGGUGUAGCGGUGAAAUGCGUAGAUAUCUGGAGGAACACCGGUGGCGAAGGCGGCAUCCUGGACCACGACUGACGCUGAUGAGCGAAAGCCAGGGGAGCAAACGGG
rnacentral:rRNA from 1 species